AGCUAUGACCAUGAUUACGCCAAGCUAUUUAGGUGACACUAUAGAAUACUCAAGCUAUGCAUCCAACGCGUUGGGAGCUCUCCCAUAUGGUCGACCUGCAGGCGGCCGCACUAGUGAUUGUAGUCAUAUGCUUGUCUCAAAGAUUAAGCCAUGCAUGUCUAAGUAUAAGCAAUUAUACGGCGAAACUGCGAAUGGCUCAUUAUAUAAGUUAUCGUUUAUUUGAUAGUACCUUACUACUUGGAUAACCGUGGUAAUUCUAGAGCUAAUACAUGCUUAAAAUCCCGACUUCGGAAGGGAUGUAUUUAUUAGAUUAAAAACCAAUGCCCUUCGGGGCUCUCUGGUGAUUCAUGAUAACUUCUCGAAUCGCAUGGCCUUGCGCCGGCGAUGGUUCAUUCAAAUUUCUUCCCUAUCAACUUUCGAUGUUUGGGUAUUGGCCAAACAUGGUUGCAACGGGUAACGGAGGGUUAGGGCUCGACCCCGGAGAAGGAGCCUGAGAAACGGCUACUACAUCCAAGGAAGGCAGCAGGCGCGCAAAUUACCCAAUCCCGACUCGGGGAGGUAGUGACAAUAAAUACUGAUACAGGGUUCUUUCGGAUCUUGUAAUUGGAAUGAGUACAAUUUAAAUCCCUUAACGAGGAACAA
rnacentral:rRNA from 1 species